rnacentral:rRNA from 1 species
UGCAGUCGACGAUGACCGCUUUCGGGCGGGGAUUAGUGGCGAACGGGUGAGUAACACGUGGGCAAUCUGCCCUGCACUCUGGGACAAGCCCUGGAAACGGGGUCUAAUACCGGAUAUGACUGUCCAUCGCAUGGUGGAUGGUGUAAAGCUCCGGCGGUGCAGGAUGAGCCCGCGGCCUAUCAGCUUGUUGGUGAGGUAGUGGCUCACCAAGGCGACGACGGGUAGCCGGCCUGAGAGGGCGACCGGCCACACUGGGACUGAGACACGGCCCAGACUCCUACGGGAGGCAGCAGUGGGGAAUAUUGCACAAUGGGCGAAAGCCUGAUGCAGCGACGCCGCGUGAGGGAUGACGGCCUUCGGGUUGUAAACCUCUUUCAGCAGGGAAGAAGCGAAAGUGACGGUACCUGCAGAAGAAGCGCCGGCUAACUACGUGCCAGCAGCCGCGGUAAUACGUAGGGCGCAAGCGUUGUCCGGAAUUAUUGGGCGUAAAGAGCUCGUAGGCGGCUUGUCACGUCGGUUGUGAAAGCCCGGGGCUUAACCCCGGGUCUGCAGUCGAUACGGGCAGGCUAGAGUUCGGUAGGGGAGAUCGGAAUUCCUGGUGUAGCGGUGAAAUGCGCAGAUAUCAGGAGGAACACCGGUGGCGAAGGCGGAUCUCUGGGCCGAUACUGACGCUGAGGAGCGAAAGCGUGGGGAGCGAACAGGAUUAGAUACCCUGGUAGUCCACGCCGUAAACGGUGGGCACUAGGUGUGGGCAACAUUCCACGUUGUCCGUGCCGCAGCUAA